GUACACUCCUACGGGAGGCAGCAGUGGGGAAUUUUGGACAAUGGGCGAAAGCCUGAUCCAGCAAUGCCGCGUGAGUGAAGAAGGCCUUCGGGUUGUAAAGCUCUUUUGUCAGGGAAGAAACGGUGAAAGCUAAUAUCUUUUGCUAAUGACGGUACCUGAAGAAUAAGCACCGGCUAACUACGUGCCAGCAGCCGCGGUAAUACGUAGGGUGCAAGCGUUAAUCGGAAUUACUGGGCGUAAAGCGUGCGCAGGCGGUUUUGUAAGUCUGAUGUGAAAUCCCCGGGCUCAACCUGGGAAUUGCAUUGGAGACUGCAAGGCUAGAAUCUGGCAGAGGGGGGUAGAAUUCCACGUGUAGCAGUGAAAUGCGUAGAUAUGUGGAGGAACACCGAUGGCGAAGGCAGCCCCCUGGGUCAAGAUUGACGCUCAUGCACGAAAGCGUGGGGGGCAAACAGGAUUAGAAACCCGAGUAGUCC
rnacentral:rRNA from 1 species